CAGCAGCCGCGGGAAAACGUAGGGCGCAAGCGUUAUCCGGAGUUAUUGGGCGUAAAGAGCUCGUAGGCGGUUUGUCGCGUCUGCUGCGAAAUCCCGAGGCUCAACCUCGGGCCUGCAGUGGGUACGGGCAGACUAGAGUGCGGUAGGGGAGAUUGGAAUUCCUGGUGUAGCGGUGGAAUGCGCAGAUAUCAGGAGGAACACCGAUGGCGAAGGCAGAUCUCUGGGCCGUAACUGAGGCUGAGGAGCGAAAGGGUGGGGAGCAAACAGGCUUAGAGACCCCCGUAGUCCCUGUCUCUUAUAC
rnacentral:rRNA from 1 species